rnacentral:rRNA from 1 species
CAGUCGUACCUUCGGGUAAUCAGCCUUUCGGGUGCGAUUCUGUGGAGUGUGAUGAGCUUAACACCUUCAUGCUUUGCAUAUUUGUGCUCUUGGGUGUACUUGCCCGUGUGGUUGGUUAACAUCAAUUUUGGUUAUCAUAAAAUGAUUGAAAGGGAAACGAUUGAAGUGUUAUAGCCUUCGGUAGAUGUGAUGAACGAGAUUGAGGAUUGCAACGGAUACCCUUCGGGGCUACCUGUCUGGUCUCUGAUCGUUGCUCUGGUGCCGAAAGCUUGCUUACGGUCAUCAAAGUCGAUGGUCAAUAGGUUAGAACGGGUUAAA